rnacentral:lncRNA from 1 species
GAUUCAUUCAUUUGAGAUAAAGCAUCAAUAGCAAGGCGAUAUACAACUACACAAAUAGAAUAAUUGAUAGCCCAAAAAGAACUCCCAGCAAUUGCCCAUUAGGUUUGCUGCUGCUGCCGAGGCAGCAGCCUUCCACACUGUUAACUAAAAUUCAAUCAUUAACUUUAAUUAUAACUUAUGUGUUAACUUGUCUAUACAUAUGCUUACUAUUUUGGUUUUCUAUUCAAAGCGGCCUCACCAAAUAGUCCCAACACAAUAAAAGUAGCUCAAUAUUCUAGGCACAUAAGGUGACUGCAGUAGCACAGUAUACCCAGCAGCGCGCUUGUGAACCAAUACAACUGUUGCUGCCAGCAGUUGCUCAGACCCAAACAACCCAUUUUUCUAUUUUAUGUCAUACGAACCCAUGAUCCAAUCCAAGUCAGUUGUUGAUAUGUUAUAGCUGGUAUAGAAAAUUAUUUUACAAAAAUUAUAAACAAUCCAAACUGAAAUCUUAGACAUAUGUAAUAGGGAAAUAAAAUUGCCUAGCUGCUCAAAAUAGAGAUUCCAAAUGACUUGACAUACUAAUUCCAACUUUUCAUUUUUAACUAGAAAUUAAGUUUUAUUCUAACUUUACACACUCAAUCCUUCUAGUUAACAUCACAUAUGUUUAAUAAAUCAAGCCCAAGCUUUACUUUAGUGUAGUAUUUAGUUUUCAGUCAAAACUGUUCUUUUAGGACUUUUAUCAAACAGUUGGUAGGCACAGUUUUGAGCUAUCAGUUUCACAAUCAUUGGUUUAUAUCAUGAACCCAUUUUAUCAUCCUUAUUACUCCUCAGCCCAACAUAUCUCCUUGUGCCUAAAUUCAAUCCAUAACAGUCAAAUACACAAUUAAAUAUAUGUAUAUUCAAGUAAUUGACAACUAUUUAGUUUAUAAAUCAGCUAAUUUACUAAUUUUCUUACCUUCAACUUUAUUAAUAAUACAAAUCACAACCAUAACAAUAGUAAUACUAACAUAAUAUAGUAGCCCCUUCAUUUUCUUUUUAGGCCAUUCGGCCAUUGCAGAUCACUAGUAGCAAGAAAAUGGAACGACAAAGGAUUAGAAAGAGCUUACCCUAAUAGUUCAAAGAUUACAAUUGGAUGUGCUGCUCAAUCUCUUCUCCUUCUCAGUCGGACUCCCUUUUAUUCUCUCUAUACUCUACUUACUUCUAUUUCUUGCUGGACUGAACUGUUCUACUUCUUAGAGAGUCGAUUAUAUGUUGUUUUCUCCCCCCUUUCAGUCAGUCCUAUUGCCAUUAGUUGGCCUCUACACAUCUACCCUACCAAGCUUCAAACAAUUAUUCCUAGUCUAGUCUACUUGGCCCCUACUGUCAAACCACAGCUACUCUAUCACUUCUUAUCCUUUGUAACUCUAUCCCUUCUUAUAACAAACUGCUAACUGAUGGCUAAACUAAC